rnacentral:rRNA from 1 species
UUUGACAGCUAGCUCUCUGCAACUCCCACAUGGUCACCCACUAAAGCUGAACAGGGCUGCACCUGGUCGGUACACGGAUGGGAGACCACAUGGGAAAUCUAGGUUGCUGCCGGAA